rnacentral:tRNA from 1 species
GCGCGAUUAGCUCAGCGGGAGAGCGCUUCCCUGACACGGAAGAGGUCACUGGUUCAAUCCCAGUAUCGCGCC